CAGUAGCCGCGGUAAUACGUAGGGGGCGAGCGUUGUCCGAAGUUACUGGGCGUAAAGCGCGCGUAGGCGGCUUCUUAAGUCUGAGGUGAAAGGUUCAACGCUUAACGUGAACAGUGCCUUGGAUACUGGGGAGCUUGAGUAUGGGAGAGGGCAGUGGAAUGGCUGGUGUAGCGGUGAAAUGCGUAGAUAUCAGUCGGAACACCCAUGGCGAAGGCAGCUGCCUGGCCUAAUACUGACGCUGAGGUGCGAAAGCGUGGGGAGCGAACGGGGUUAGAUACCCCAGUAGUCCCUGUCUCUUAUA
rnacentral:rRNA from 1 species